CACACUGGGACUGAGACACGGCCCAGACUCCUACGGGAGGCAGCAGUGGGGAAUCUUGCGCAAUGGGCGAAAGCCUGACGCAGCAACGCCGCGUGAGGGAUGAAGGUCUUCGGAUUGUAAACCUCUUUCAAGCAGGGACGAUGAUGACGGUACCUGCAGAAGAAGCUCCGGCCAACUACGUGCCAGCCGCCGCGGUAAAAC
rnacentral:rRNA from 1 species